GAGGUCUUCUAUGUAUAGAAGACCUUACAAGAGGUCUUCUAUGUAUAGAAGACCCUACAAGAGGUCUUCUAUGUAUAGAAGACCCUACAAGAGGUCUUCUAUAUAUAGAAGACCCACAAGA